rnacentral:rRNA from 1 species
UACGUAGGCAGCAAGCGUUGUUCGGAGUUACUGGGCGUAAAGGGUGUGUAGGCGGUUCUUUAAGUUUGGUGUGAAAUCUCCCGGCUCAACUGGGAGGGUGCGCCGAAUACUGAGGGACUAGAGUACGGGAGAGGAAAGUGGAAUUCCUGGUGUAGCGGUGAAAUGCGUAGAUAUCAGGAGGAACACCGGUGGUGUAGACGGCUCACUGGACCGUAACUGACGCUGAAACACGAAAGCGUGGGUAGCAAACAGG